GGGGAAUUUUGGACAAUGGGCGCAAGCCUGAUCCAGCAAUGCCGCGUGCAGGAAGAAGGCCUUCGGGUUGUAAACUGCUUUUGUACGGAGCGAAAAGGCUUUCUCUAAUACAGGAGGCUGAUGACGGUACCGUAAGAAUAAGCACCGGCUAACUACGUGCCAGCAGCCGCGGUAAUACGUAGGGUGAGAGCGUUAAUCGGAAUUACUGGGCGUAAAGCGUGCGCAGGCGGCUUUGUAAGACAGGCGUGAAAUCCCCGGGCUCAACCUGGGAAUGGCGCUUGUGACUGCAAAGCUGGAGUGCGGCAGAGGGGGAUGGAAUUCCGCGUGUAGCAGUGAAAUGCGUAGAUAUGCGGAGGAACACCGAUGGCGAAGGCAAUCCCCUGGGCCUGCACUGACGCUCAUGCACGAAAGCGUGGGGAGCAAAC
rnacentral:rRNA from 1 species